AGAGCGAACGCUGGCGGCAUGCUUAACACAUGCAAGUCGCACGGGCACUUCGGUGCCAGUGGCGGACGGGUGAGUAACGCGUAGGUAUCUAUCCUUGGGUGGGGGACAACGGUUGGAAACGACUGCUAAUACCGCAUAAUAACUGAGGUUUAAAGGCGCAAGUCGCCUGAGGAGGAGCCUGCGUACGAUUAGCUAGUUGGUGGGGUAAAGGCCUACCAAGGCGACGAUCGUUAGCUGGUCUGAGAGGAUGAUCAGCCACAUUGGGACUGAGACACGGCCCAAACCCCUACGGGAGGCAGCAGUGGGGAAUCUUGCGCAAUGCGCGAAAGCGUGACGCAGCAACGCCGCGUGGGGAAGAAGGCUCUCGGGUUGUAAACCCCUUUCAGUUGGGACGAAGCUUCGUCGGUUAAUAGCCGGCUGGAGUGACGGUACCUUCACAAGAGCACCGGCUAACUACGUGCCAGCAGCCGC
rnacentral:rRNA from 1 species